rnacentral:lncRNA from 1 species
CCAAAUCCCACGACCGGACAAUUCCUGGCACAUAGUUUAUGCUCAGCCAAUAUCUGUGACUGAUUGAUGAAGAACUGCCCGUCGAAAGAAUUCAGUACUGAGCGAGGAAACCAGCCUUCAGGGAAGGAGAGCGAGGCCAGCUGGGAGGCGAGCCAAGAGAUCUGGAUUAUGACACAAGCCUGGUUCUUGGACCUGCCAUUUUGGGAGAGAAGGGAUAGCCUAGUCAAUAUGGUGACUCUGAUGAAAAAAUUUAAAACCAAAGGAAAACAACCACAAUGCAGUUAGUGCUACAGAGGUGGGAGUGGAGAGGAAGAAGCUCUGAGUCUUGAGUGGUGCAUUGAAGGGGAGAACUUCCUAGAAAAGCUUAGGUAAAAGUCUAUAAUAGCACAAAUGCAACAGUGGCAUCCUGUGGCUUGGCCUGUGAAUGACAAGCGAGUGUCACCAUUGUGGCCUUGGGAGGCCUGGCUUCAUGGCUGCACAGAGGGAGAGAAGCAUUGCAAAGAAUGGCUAUGCCAGGAGAAAAAAACCCCAACCGUCUGUGGGUCCUUCCAGAUACCAUCUACACUUGAGGGUGAAUUACUGCGAGAUGAACGUCGAUUCCCUGUCUGACUGCUCUAACGUUUGUGGAGUUCAAUGCUCAAGGGUAAAUUCUCAAUGCUCGAGGCCCUCCUACAGUUGACUCCUUCCCACGGCUCCCCCAGGAGGCCCUGCGUGCCAAGCAUUCCAGAAAACUCCUGGUACCCCCUUGCCUGGCCUUCUUUAACUGCCUUGGGCUCCUGCUCUUCAGGCCCAGCUCAGGUCUGCCUGCCCCCGAAGCUCCUUUCUCAGACGGAGCCCAGACUGCGAGAGCAAGGUCACAGCAGGAGGAGCACAGAGACAGCUGACCUACAUGAGCCCCCUCUGUGGCUCAUCCAGGAGAACCUCGUUGAGGAGACGCUUUGCAGGAUGGAAGCCUUUUGCAGAUGGAGAGCAAAAUCAGGCUGUGGGCUUUUGCAGGAGGCAAAAUUAUAAUUUGCAUUUCUCUGCGGAGUGAGAACUCUGUAAUUUAGGAUUUUGUCUAAUUGCUGUUUAGAGUUCCAGGGACUCUUUCUCUUCAGGCAGCCAUGUACUGGUUGGAGAGAGGCACUCUGAAUGGCCCUGAAGCUCCGUCCAGCCAUGGGAGCAGACAGGGAGCUGGUCAGUGCUGGAGUUCUGCAUUUUUUUCUGGAGUCCUGAUUUGUCCAGCAGUUGGAGGACAGGGACAGCACUGGCGCUGUGGGGGUUACAAGCACAUAUCUGCAGACAGCAUCUUUGGUCUGUGGCUGCUCCAAUUUCAGCUCCGAGCAGCUGCUAGCCAGAAACGAGGGGACCCCAGAGGCAGGCACAUCCAUGUUCUUCUGCAGCUGGGCUCUCCUUGCACACGUGUGUGAGGCUGCAGCCUCUCUGUUUCUCAUUUGCACUGUGGACAUUUGGAAAGUUACCUACGUCCGUUGAAAAAUUAUUUUUGAGCUUUCCUAAGUGGUGGUAAGAAUGACAAGCAGAUCCCUUGAGUACCUGGGGAGGAAUCAGGCACUACAGGCCCCACUCUCCCUACGAGCCCCACACAGGUUCAAACCCAACCCAAUCCAACCUGCGCUGUCUCCUUCUGUCUGAGUUUGGAGUGUCACCAGCAAUCAAUUUGUUUUUAAAGAAGGGCACAUCAAAAGACAGACAUUAUGGCCAUUUUUAUGGAUCUUGGGCAAACACCUUGGCAGAUGUAAAGCAAGCGUACUUUUCACUCAACUUUUUAUAACUGGCAACUCCUUGUGGUGAUAAGUUAAGGCCUCAGUUGUUAAAGCCACGGGGAGUACUGUUUCCAGGUGGGGCAGUGGCCAAGCUAAGAACAGGACGUUCUCCAACUGUCCUAUCUCCAGGGUCAUGGCCGGAUUCGGAUCCCUUCGCACCUGGCCACACCUUUUAUAAAGGUCAAGCCUGGCCGAAAUGAACAUCCUGGAAGUUUUGAAAGGGACGAAAGCACUUUAGACUUUACUAC